GAUGACGCCUCCUGUUGCGUAAAUGGUUCUUUUUCGCGGCUUGGGAGUUAAUUUUCUGUCUAGUAAAAUAUUUCCGCUUGCUUUGUCUACCUUUACAUUUAGCAACACCGCCACCACCCCUGUCUCUCCGCCAGCGUCGCUCAGAUGGACCCGCCACCACCCUCCACAACUAAACUCCGCCUGAUGUGCAGCUAUGGAGGGCACAUCGUCACACGCCUCCACACCAAGUCUCUCUACUAUGCUGGCGGCGAUACCCGCAUCAUAACCAUUCCCACCACCGCUGCCAAUCUCACUCUUUCCUCUCUCAACACCCACUUAGCUACUGUUCUUCACAUCAGCAACCCUUUUACUCUAAAGUACCAGCUUCCCAAUCACGACCUUGACUCGCUUAUCUCCCUUUCCACAGACGAGGACCUCCUUAUUAUGCUUGAUGAGCACCACCGCCUCUCCCCAACUCCCUCUCGCAUCCGGGUUUUCCUCUUCCCUGUGAAACCAAUUUCAACUCAGCCUGAAUUGACUCAGUUGAAUCCCGGUUCUAAUAUGGGUGAGUUGUCUGGGAACGAACUGAGGCACCCCAAGACGGAGAGUUGGUUUGCUGAUGUGUUGAAGAGCGCCAAGAUUAUGCAGAAGGGAGGGGUGGGGUUUGGAGGGGAGGGGCAGUGUGAGGGUAGUAAUGGUGCUUGUAGUGGUGGAGAGGUGAGUGUUGGUCUUUGUGGGCCGGAGUCGAUGGUUUUGGAGACGAAUUCAUCAUUCGGUUCGACUUCUUCUUCAGUUUCUCUGUCGAAUUUGCCCGCUAAGGGUCAGGUUGAGGAUCAUAGAGCGGGUUCUCUGGAUAACAAGGUCAAGUUGUCCACUUCAGAAUCAUUUGCAAGGUAUGCUUUAGAAAUUUUUUCUACUGAUUGUUCCAAUUCCUUGCAAUUUUUUUUCUUCAGUAGCAUUUCUUUAGUUAAUGAAAAGAUGUAGGAAUGAUGGAGAGAGAAGCAAUUCAAACUCACGAACACUUACUUAAAAACGAGCCUAUUUAUCUAGUUAAACUCAUUUCUGGGGAGGAUUUGAAAUAUUGUGUUCUUGGUUUGGUUGAUUAACAUUUUGUAUUUAUGUUUUUGGAUUGGUUUUUGUUUUUAAACAUUGUGACAUUAAAACGAAGUUCUUUUGAGCAGUGGUGAGUAUAACAGGUUUGUCUAAUUUGUUGUUACAGUGGCAAUAGUGUAGCUACUGCUGUUUCUCAUCCACAGACUUUGACUUAUCAAGACCCAGUUGCUUCAGUUCCUGCAACGGAGAAUACAAAUUCUUUCACCCCAUUAGAAUCUGUGAGUAAAAUCCUUGAUCCUUCCAUUGGGGUUGAGACGCAAAAAGUGGUUCAUGUUUCUGGGUUUCCAUUGUCUCUCCAAUUUGACAAGCCACAAGUACAAUUUGUCCAUACACCUGCUCCACAUUACUUACCGCAGAACCCACCUGGAAUGAUGCCAAUAUCUUCUUACUAUUUGAUGAGUUCUCCAGUCCCUCAGCAGCAGAUGUAUUAUCAGACCAAUCAACCACACCCAAUAUAUGUUGUGCCUGUUGGCUAUCCUUACAGUUUUCCUAUGCAAAGUGGUUUGAUUAACCCUGCAACUGUUUGUUCUGAUCAUCCCCCAACACAUCCUUAUCCUUCUCUCAACCCUACUCAAGUGGCUUACAAGGUCGCAGCUGCUUCACCUGCACCUGAGUUAGCCUCACAAGUUUACAGAAUGGUCCCAACAUCAAGUUCACUUGUUAAUGUACCCCAUAAUGAAAAUCAUAAACAAGCUGAGGGUCUUCCUCAAAUCAAUCUCCAAGCUCAGUCCAUGGGUAUUGCUUCCAUAGAAACUACUAAUUAUUCUAAUGAACUUGAUGAUGACCCUGCCCGCUCACAGAUAUAUAAAUCUCAGCCUCCACCUCCUACAUUGCCUUCCCGCCACCAAACAAUGACCAAAGCCACAACAGUCUUGUAAUAAGAAGCUUUGGCACAGUUGCAUACAGAAAACAUUAAGCAACAACUGUGAGCCUCACAUCACAAUUAGCAUAACUGAACAAUUUUGGAUCGAGUGCUUUUGGUAAUUUUGAACUUCCCUUGGAUUUUCAGUUUUGCUAGUAUUAUGUGUUGUUCAAUUUGUAAUAGAAGUAAUAAUCUGGUUUUCUUACCCUUUUGUUUCAUCUAUCUUCGUAUGAGUUUCGUUGCUAUUAUUGUUACUUGAUAUGGAUGUUUCGGUAAUAUAGUAAAAGAGUGUCAAAUGUUUGUAAAAGUGAUUGUAUAACUUUAAUUUAUUCUAAGUGCAGUUCUUCAAUUGCAAAAUGUUUCAGGCUCCUGAAGUAUCAUUGUGCAUGGUAUGCCAAUAUCCAUCUGCUGAUAUCUGUU
rnacentral:misc_RNA from 1 species